rnacentral:rRNA from 1 species
UUCCGGUUGAUCCUGCCGGACCCCACUGCUAUCGGGAUAGGACUAAGACAUGCUAGUCGUGUGCCUCAGCCAAAACGAGGCACGGCGCACAGCUCAGUAACACGUGGCUAACCUGCCCUUAGGACGAGAAUAACCCCGGGAAACUGGGGCUAAUGCUCGAUAGGUGAAGAACUCUGGAAUGAGUCUUCACUUAAAAGAGUCUGCGUUAUGCUCGUAGAUUUCGCUUAAGGAUGGGGCCGCGACCGAUCAGGUUGUUGGUGAGGUAAUGGCUCACCAAGCCUUUUACCGGUGCGGGCCGUGAGAGCGGGAGCCCGGAGAUGGGCACUGAGACAAGGGCCCAGGCCCUACGGGGCGCAGCAGUCGCGAAAACUUUGCAAUACACGAAAGUGUGACAGGGCUAUCCCGAGUGCCAUCCGCUGAGGAAGGCUUUUACCCAGUCUAGAACGCUGGGGGAAUAAGGAGAGGGCAAGUCUGGUGUCAGCCGCCGCGGUAAUACCAGCUCUCCGAGUGGUGUGGAUGUUUAUUGGGCCUAAAGCAUCCGUAGCUGGCUAAGUUAGUCCCCUGUUAAAUCCAACGAAUUAAUCGUUGGAUCGCGGGGGAUACUGCUUGGCUAGGGGACGAGAGAGGCAGACGGUAUUUCCGGGGUAGGGGUGAAAUCCUAUAAUCCCGGGAAGACCACCAGUGGCGAAGGCUGUCUGCUAGAACGCGCCCGACGGUGAGGGAUGAAAGCUGGGGGAGCGAACCGGAUUAGAUACCCGGGUAGUCCCAGCUGUAAACGAUGCAGGCUAGGUGUUUGGACGGCCACGUGCCGUUCUAGUGCCGCAGGGAAGCUGUUAAGCCUGCCGCCUGGGGAGUACGAUCGCAAGAUUGAAACUUAAAGGAAUUGGCGGGGGAGCACCACAAGGGGUGAAGCUUGCGGUUUAAUUGGAUUCAACGCCGGG